CCCUUAGAUGUCCUGGGCCGCACGCGCGUUACACUGAUGCAUUCAACGAGCUUAUAACCUUGGCCGAGAGGCCUGGGCAAUCUUGUUAACGUGCAUCGUGAUAGGGAUAGAUUAUUGAAAUUAUUAAUCUUGAACGAGGAAUUCCUAGUAAACGCAGAUCAUCAAUCUGCAUUGAUUACGUCCCUGCCCUUUGUACACACCACCCGUCGCACCUACCGAUUGGAUGGUCCGGUGAAGCCUCGGGAUUGUGGUUCUUGCCGCUUUAUUGUGGCGUGACCGCGAGAACUUGUCUAAACCUUAUCAUCUAGAGGAAAGUGAAGUCGUAACA
rnacentral:rRNA from 1 species